rfam:Bombyx mori DNA, contig: Bm_scaf25_contig16652, strain: p50T/Dazao, build 2, whole genome shotgun sequence.
CUAACUCAGAUUUGAAUAGAGUUGGAAACUUUGCCUACGUUUGCCGCUAGGGGCGCUGUUCCAACUGCAUACAAAUUUGAGUUA